UACGUAGGGGGCUAGCGUUGUCCGGAAUCAUUGGGCGUAAAGCGCGUGUAGGCGGUCCGGUAAGUCCGCUGUGAAAGCCGGGGGCUCAACCCUCGGAUGCCGGUGGAUACUGUCGGGCUUGAGUGCGGAAGAGGCGAGUGGAAUUCCUGGUGUAGCGGUGAAAUGCGCAGAUAUCAGGAGGAACACCAAUUGCGAAGGCAGCUCGCUGGGACGUUACUGACGCUGAGACGCGAAAGCGUGGGGAGCAAACAGG
rnacentral:rRNA from 1 species